GUGGUUGGGGCACAGUAACCAGAGGAUCCAACCUUUGAUUUUCUAGACCCUGACAUCUUACUGCCUGUGGUCCCUAUCCACUCUCCCCCCAUACUGAUGAGCUCCAUGUAAAAUUAAAGGAUACUAUUGUGCUAAAAGGAAGUAUGAACUGAAGGAAUUUCAUGUAAACUGGAAUGACCUCCAGGAAUUGAUGCAGAGUGAAAGGAGCAGAACCAGGAGAACCUUAUACACAGAGAAUGAUACAUUGUGGCACAAUUGAAAGUGAAGGACUUCUUUACUAGCAGCAAUCCAAUGUUCCAGGACAAUUUGGAGGGAAUUAUGAGAAAGAACACUAUCCACACCCAGAGAAAGAAAUGUGGGAGUAGAAACACAGAAGUAAAACAACUGCUUUAUCACAUGGUUUGAUUGGGAAAUGACUAGGGAUAUAGACUAAAUGAUUACUCCAUUUUAAAUAUUAAUAAUAUGGAAAAAGAUCUUGAUCAAUGAUAUAUGUAAAACCCAGUGAAAUUUUUGUUGGCUCCUGGAGGAUGAGUGAGGAGGAGAGGGAAAGAACAUGAAUCAUAUAUCAUAUAAAAAAAUUUCCUAAAUUAAUUAAAUAAAUAAGUAUUUUUAAAAAAUAAGAUGAAAAUUUCUCAUAUUGGAAAGAAUUGUUGUAGUAAAGAACUGGAAAGAAAAUCAGUGUCAAUGUAAAAUGAGUGCUUAAAUAGAUUUGUGCAGUCCAUGAACCUGAUAAAAAAUUACUAUGAAGGAAGAUAUUAUGAAUAUGAUAAAGAAUAAAUAUAUAUGUGAGUGGAUACAGAUUACACCGAGUAGAACCAGUAGUACAAUUCACACAAUGUCCACAAAAUAUCAAAAUACAAUAAUUUUUAUAGACUCAAGACUUUUCAAAGUAGAAGAUUUUUUUUGGUAAAGAAUGAUUUCUCUUUUUUGUCAGAGUAGGGAAAGAUAAUAGUUACAAAAUGAAACAAGUCUUUUGAAAGAUAUAAAUUGUGUUAAGCUUGAAUGUAUAUAUCUAUUAAAUAGAAGAACUUUUAAAGGUGUUAUUUUGUGGAAAGUUGAGUAGCUAGCUCACUGGAUUGAGAGUAAGGCCUAAAAAUGGGAGGUCCUCAGUUCGAAACUAGCCUCAGCCACUUAUUAGCUGUGUGAUCUUGGCCAAGUCAUUGACUAGUCUUUACCACUCUUUUGUCUUAGAACCAAUAUAUAGUAUUGAUGCUAAAGUAAGGGUUUUUUAAAAAGCACUUCUUUUUUAUUGAAGGACUUAGUAAAUGAUAGUAGAGAUGUAAAUAAAGCAUUCAUAAAACAAUAUACAGAAAUGAAAUAGAAGGUAUAAAAAGUUUAAACAUAUUAGUUUUUGGUACUAUUCUCUUAAAUUUAAAUUUUACAUAAAAUUUUAUAACAGAAGUGAAACCAUAUCCUAUCCCAUUUCUUGUAUUCUUUUAUAUACCCAAAUAUUUGUUUGAUAAUUGUUACAUAAAAAGACAAGUAGAAAUAAAAAUCAUGAAUUAAAUGUUA